rnacentral:rRNA from 1 species
GACGAACGCUGGCGGCGUGCUUAACACAUGCAAGUCGAACGGUAAGGCCCUUCGGGGUACACGAGUGGCGAACGGGUGAGUAACACGUGGGUGAUCUGCCCUGCACUUCGGGAUAAGCCAGGGAAACUGGGUCUAAUACCGGAUAGGACCACUGCCUGCAUGGGUGGUGGUGGAAAGCUUUUGCGGUGUGGGAUGGGCCCGCGGCCUAUCAGCUUGUUGGUGGGGUGAUGGCCUACCAAGGCGACGACAGGUAGCCGGCCUGAGAGGGUGACCGGCCACACUGGGACUGAGAUACGGCCCAGACUCCUACGGGAGGCAGCAGUGGGGAAUAUUGCACAAUGGGCGCAAGCCUGAUGCAGCGACGCCGCGUGAGGGAUGACGGCCUUCGGGUUGUAAACCUCUUUCAGCACCGACGAAGCGCAAGUGACGGUAGGUGCAGAAGAAGGACCGGCCAACUACGUGCCAGCAGCCGCCGUAA